CCUACGGGUGGCAGCAGUGAGGAAUAUUGGUCAAUGGACGAGAGUCUGAACCAGCCAAGUAGCGUGAAGGAUGACUGCCCUAUGGGUUGUAAACUUCUUUUGUAUGGGAAUAAAAUGUUCCACGUGUGGGAUUUUGUAUGUACCUUAUGAAUAAGGAUCGGCUAACUCCGUGCCAGCAGCCGCGGUAAUACGGAGGAUCCGAGCGUUAUCCGGAUUUAUUGGGUUUAAAGGGAGCGUAGGUGGAUUGUUAAGUCAGUUGUGAAAGGUUGCGGCUCAACCGUAAAAUUGCAGUUGAAACUGGCAGUCUUGAGUACAGUAGAGGUGGGCGGAAUUCGUGGUGUAGCGGUGAAAUGCUUAGAGAUGACGAAGAACUCCGAUUGCGAAGGCAGUUCACUGG
rnacentral:rRNA from 1 species